CUCCAGGAGUACCCUAUUGCCUGCAUGAUCCAGCAUCCCUCUCUAAACGGGACCCUGGUCCUUCCCAUGGACAGCCUGGCACAGGGUCCGGACAGCAACACGGCACCGGCCAUUGCCAUUGUGAUGGGGGUGCUGGUCCCCCUGAUUUCCCUCCUUCUUCUCGCCUGCCUCCUCUACCACUGCCUCAGGCACCUACGUGACCCGGAGAGAAACCCAGCCCAGCCAUGCUGGGUCCUUCCUGUCUGUACCAAGGCCGAGAAAUGCAGGCAAUACGGAGCCGUGGGCGGGAGGGCUCCCACGGUGUUCCCCAGCCCUGGGGCACCACUGAACACCUGAGCAGCGGCCCACCCUACACGCGUGAGAGAGAAACUUCUGACAAUGGCACCUCAGGCUUCCAAGCAAACCUGCUGUGACUUUACUUCAAGGGACAAAUACAAAAAAGGACAAUUUAUAACAUUUAUUUAUUUAUUUUGUUACACUAUAAUAUUCCGUUUGGUAGAAAAAAACUGUAAGAUAUUUAUUUGAGACUCAGACUGUCUGUGGGGAUCUGCAUAAUGAAACCCAUGUUUUGUAUUUUCUGGAGUUUUGAAAGUUUUGCUUAUUCUUUUCUGAUGUUUUAACACUGCAAGCUGAACACUGGAUGGGGUACCGUUUGACACAGGGCAUCAUUUUGUAGGGGUGCUUGCCUGGGAUGUGUUGCUGAUGGGUC
rnacentral:lncRNA from 1 species